rnacentral:tRNA from 1 species
GCCUGGGUGGCUCAGUCGGUUAAGCGUCUGACUUCGGCUCAGGUCGUGAUCUCGCGGUCCGUGAGUUCGAGCCCCGCGUCGGGCU